GACGAACGCUGGCGGCGUGCUUAACACAUGCAAGUCGAACGGAAAGGCCCUGCUUUUGUGGGGUGCUCGAGUGGCGAACGGGUGAUUAACAUGUGAGUAACCUGCCCUUGACUUUGGGAUAACUUUAGGAAACUGGGGCUAAUACCGGAUAGGAGCUCCUACUGCAUGGUGGGGGUUGGAAAGUUUCGGCGGUUGGGGAUGGACUCGUGGCUUAUCAGCUUGUUGGUGGGGUAGUGGCUUACCAAGGCUUUGUCGGGUAGCCGGCCUGAGAGGGUGACCGGCCACAUUGGUACAGAGAUUCGGCCAAGACUCCUACGGGAGGAAGCAGUGGGGAAAAUUUCACAAUGGGAGGAACCCUGAUGCAGCAACGCCGCGUGCGGUAUGUCGGCCUUCGGAUUGUAAACCGCUUGCGCCUGUGACGAAGCGUGAGUGACGGUAAUGGGUAAAGAAGCAACGGCUAACUACGUG
rnacentral:rRNA from 1 species